AUUGAACGCUGGCGGCAGGCCUAACACAUGCAAGUCGAGCGGAUGAAGGGAGCUUGCUCCUGGAUUCAGCGGCGGACGGGUGAGUAAUGCAUAGGAAUCUGCCCGGUAGUGGGGGAUAACGUCCGGAAACGGGCGCUAAUACCGCAUACGUCCUGAGGGAGAAAGUGGGGGAUCUUCGGACCUCACGCUAUCAGAUGAGCCUAGGUCGGAUUAGCUAGUUGGUGGGGUAAAGGCCUACCAAGGCGACGAUCCGUAACUGGUCUGAGAGGAUGAUCAGUCACACUGGAACUGAGACACGGUCCAGACUCCUACGGGAGGCAGCAGUGGGGAAUAUUGGACAAUGGGCGAAAGCCUGAUCCAGCCAUGCCGCGUGUGUGAAGAAGGUCUUCGGAUUGUAAAGCACUGUAAGUUGGGAGGAAGGGCAGUAAGUUAAUACCUUGCUGUUUUGACGUUACCAACAGAAUAAGCACCGGCUAACUUCGUG
rnacentral:rRNA from 1 species